rnacentral:rRNA from 1 species
GACGAACGCUGGCGGCGUGCUUAACACAUGCAAGUCGAACGGAAAGGCCUUUUCGGAGGUACUCGAGUGGCGAACGGGUGAGUAACACGUGGGUGAUCUGCCCUGCACUCUGGGAUAAGCCUGGGAAACUGGGUCUAAUACCGGAUAGGACCGCACUUUAGUGUGUGUGGUGGAAAGUUUUUUCGGUGUAGGAUGAGCCCGCGGCCUAUCAGCUUGUUGGUGGGGUAAUGGCCUACCAAGGCGGCGACGGGUAGCCGGACUGAGAGGUUGGUCGGCCACAUUGGGACUGAGAUACGGCCCAGACUCCUACGGGAGGCAGCAGUGGGGAAUAUUGCGCAAUGGGCGCAAGCCUGAUGCAGCGACGCCGCGUGGGGGAUGACGGCCUUCGGGUUGUAAACUCCUUUCGCCAGGGACGAAGCGUUUUGUGACGGUACCUGGAGAAGAAGCACCGGCUAACUACGUG